CAGUCGCCGCGGUAAUACGGAGGGUGCAAGCGUUAUCCGGAUUUAUUGGGUUUAAAGGGUCCGUAGGCGGAUCUGUAAGUCAGUGGUGAAAUCUCACAGCUUAACUGUGAAACUGCCAUUGAUACUGCAGGUCUUGAGUAAAUUUGAAGUGGCUGGAAUAAGUAGUGUAGCGGUGAAAUGCAUAGAUAUUACUUAGAACACCAAUUGCGAAGGCAGGUCACUAAGAUUUAACUGACGCUGAUGGACGAAAGCGUGGGGAGCGAACAGGAUUAGAGACCCGCGUAGUCCCUGUCUCUUAUAC
rnacentral:rRNA from 1 species